CAAUAGAAGAAUGUGGACUGUAGACAUAUACUGUAUAUCUGCUCUGGACAACUGGACAAGAAGCAACUUUUGGACCAAACUUCUCCACUGAAAUCCAGCUGAAAUCACUCUAACAACUGAACUGAUCACGAUACCCUCUGUAGCUGAUAACAACUUUAUUUGCAGAAAUGGCAACUGACGUCAAGACAUCAAACUUAGACAACUACGAAAUGCUUCAUGUCCUGGGAGAGGGAAGCUAUGGAAAGGUCGUAGGAUGUUACAAACGGGACACCAAGGAAGUUGUGGCUGUGAAAUUCUUAAAAAAAACAAGAUUUUCACAGCACCUCGACCGAAGGGAGAUGUUCAUCUUGGAAAAGCUCCGAUGUUUGGACCCUGAUGAGUGCAGGAUCAUCAAAUGCUUUGAGUGGAACCACGACAAAGAAAGUGCCUACAUGGUGUUUGAGAUGCUGGACAUUAGCCUCCAUCGCUUCAUGGCUCGCAGAAAAUGGGCUCCUUUGCCAUUGGAUGGCAUAAGGACCAUCAUCAAAGAUAUGGCCACAGCAUUAACUGCCCUGAGGAGUGUCGGUCUGAUCCAUACAGAUUUGAAGAUGGACAACAUCAUGCUGGUGGAUCACAAGAAGCAGCCAUUCAGGGUGAAGCUCAUUGACUUUGGCUUGACUCUGCGGAAAUCCGAAGCCUGGCCAGGACAAGGUGUUCAGCCUUUGCUGCACAGGUCUCCUGAAGUCAUUCUGGGCCACCCAUUCUCUGAGGCUAUUGACGUCUGGGCUCUCGGCACAAUAAUGGCCAAGCUCUACCUCGGCUGUUCACUUUUCCCGGGGGUUCAUGAGUAUGAUGUGCUGCGUUACAUCACUGACCUCCUGGGUGAAGUUCCGCAGCAACUUGUGAAGGCUGGGAGAAGGACAAAGCUCUACUAUCAAGGAAGAGCAAAUUUCUUCAUGAACACGGAAUGGACAAUGAAGACGCCAGAACAGUUUUCCAAGGAAACCAGCCAGAGAACAGAAGAACACAGGGCAUACCAGGCUCCCUCUCUGAAAGAGCUGACAGCGAUGAACAUACUCCAAGGAAACAAGGAAGAGGAGGCUGAUAGGAGCGCUUGUUUUGACCUGAUGGACAAAAUGCUUCAGAUGGAUCCCAACAAGAGGAUUACCCCAAACAAAAUCCUGGCACAUCCAUUCAUAACGGGGAGCUACGUCAACAAUGGGUGUCCCCAGGCUGUGGAGAAGAAAUCCCAGCAUCCAAGUGUUGAGAAAUCCAACUCUCCAAAGGAUGAGGAUGCUAGAUACUCAAAAUCGGUCAGUGACUCGACUGAUAGCAGCUUCUCUAGUAACGAAGACAACCCAUCUGAGGACUUGGACAGCGUGAUCAUCCCAUCGGCUCCUCAAAACAAACCAGAAUCAUCUCACUCACCUGCGGCCAUUGAGCCGAAGAAGAGGGAGAAGAAGAAGAGAGGAAUCCGAAGAUUCUUGUCCACCUUGAAGAGGAAAGUUUUCUGCUGCUUCUGUGCGCCAAAGAACGGCGAUGAAUGAAGCAGCGAGUCCCUCGAUAAGAGUCACUGACCGGUGAACGGCUGAGACCAAAGGGGACCAUGAGUCACUGACCGGUGAACGGCUGAGACCAAAGGGGACCAUAAACGCCUGUCAUAGAAGAACUCCUACUCCUACUAAGCCUUCCAAAAUAUAGUCCAGGAAGAAAGCUACCACCAGAAGCUACACGUCUGUGACUUGGAGUCCCAAUAAUCAAGGCCUAUUGAAGGAGGCUGGGACACGGGCAGACAGGGGUCUUGGGGUAUAACACAUGCACAGUGUAACUGAAGCUGCGUAGUGCGUUGCGAUUGGUUCAAUUUCGGCGAGUGCAGACCAGAUUUUACUGCGCAUGUGUUGUACACCAAAGAUGUGACGCGGUGAUGACGCGUGACCCAGCCUCCUUCAAUAGGCCUUGACAAUAAUCAGACUGGUUAGCCAUUUUUCCUGAAGAACCACUCCACAACCACUCCAUCCGACACAUAUUAUCCGUCUGUCCGUCCUGGAAGAGGGAUCCCUCCUCUGUUGCUCUUCCUGAGGUUUCUUCCAUUUUUACCCUGUUAAAAGGGUUUUUCUGGUUAAGUUUUUUCUCAUCCGAUGCGAGGGUCGUACUGUAAAGGACAGAGGGUGUCUUAUGCUGUACAGAUUGUAAAGCCCCCUGAAACAAGUGAUUUGUGUUAUUGGGCUAUACAAAUGAAAUUGACCUGAAUAAAAGCCUGUGGUUUUGGUAAUCGCUGGAGAGUAGAGUGUGGGAGCAUUGGCUGGUGGCCUGUGAAGGGCCGCCGAUACGAUACUUUCACGCUACCGCUUGCUGAUUGCUGCACCGUGGUGGAAAAGGAAGUAGACACACUUCGAAGUCAGCUACAACAGCAUGGAGUUGAGUGAGGAGUGAUAAAGGAAUGGGAAGGCUAGUGGGAGUAGGAGGAAUAAACAGGAUAAAUAAAUAAAUAUCUUUAUAAAAUAA